rnacentral:rRNA from 1 species
AUUGAACGCUGGCGGAAUGCUUUACACAUGCAAGUCGAACGGCAGCACGGACUUCGGUCUGGUGGCGAGUGGCGAACGGGUGAGUAAUACAUCGGAACGUGCCCAGUCGUGGGGGAUAACGUAGCGAAAGCUACGCUAAUACCGCAUACGAUCUAAGGAUGAAAGCGGGGGACCGUAAGGCCUCGCGCGAUUGGAGCGGCUGAUGGCAGAUUAGGUAGUUGGUGGGGUAAAGGCUCACCAAGCCGACGAUCUGUAGCUGGUCUGAGAGGACGACCAGCCACACUGGGACUGAGACACGGCCCAGACUCCUACGGGAGGCAGCAGUGGGGAAUUUUGGACAAUGGGCGCAAGCCUGAUCCAGCCAUUCCGCGUGCAGGAUGAAGGCCCUCGGGUUGUAAACUGCUUUUGUACGGAACGAAAAGGCUCUGGUUAAUACCCGGGGCUCAUGACGGUACCGUAAGAAUAAGCACCGGCUAACUACGUGCCAGCAGCCGCCGUAA